rfam:Operophtera brumata OBRT01_Sc02753, whole genome shotgun sequence.
UUAUUGGCUCUUUUAAGAGCCAACACUCUCACCAUUUUAUUAGGUAU